UAAUACGUAGGGUGCGAGCGUUAAUCGGAAUUACUGGGCGUAAAGCGUGCGCAGGCGGUUGUGCAAGACAGAUGUGAAAUCCCCGGGCUUAACCUGGGAACUGCAUUUGUGACUGCACGGCUAGAGUGCGGCAGAGGGGAGUGGAAUUCCGCGUGUAGCAGUGAAAUGCGUAGAUAUGCGGAGGAACACCGAUGGCGAAGGCAGCUCCCUGGGCCUGCACUGACGCUCAUGCACGAAAGCGUGGGGAGCAAACAGGAUUAGAUACCCUGGUAGUCCACGCCCUAAACGAUGUCAACUGGUUGUUGGUCCUUCACUGGAUCAGUAACGUAGCUAACGCGUGAAGUUGACCGCCUGGGGAGUACGGCCGCAAGGUUGAA
rnacentral:rRNA from 1 species